rnacentral:rRNA from 1 species
AUGGCGGCGGCAGCCCUUGGACACGCGGCGUUGAGGAUCGGCGGCCGCGCUCUCCAGAGGGCCGCCCUGUCCCCGGCGGCGCAACGCCGGCUUGUCCACACCAGGGUGCCCACACACGAUGAGAAAAUAGACGUCGCGGCUCGCUUGAUGCGCAUCCAGGAUCUGAAAGAGGAGCUGUACAAUCAGAUCGCCGCGUGCAAAGACAAGUACAUGGUCAGUGGCAACAUAGGCCGAAACAAUACUCAUCUGCUCGAGCAUCUCUCGGAACAAAUCAAACCUAGACACGACGACCCACGCUGGCGCUCGUGUCGGCGAUGGGCGUUUGUCAACGAUGUCUACAAAUACUCUGGCGCCGUCUUCAUUGCCACCACGGCCGCAAAUCUCAUCUUCUAUUCCGUUCACAAGAUUUAUCCAAGAGAGGAGAAUAAUGACAAGAGGGUCCUCGAUGCAGGGCUCAAGAAUAGUGGCCCAGUUUAUGAGGGAAAUCAGACCGAAAAACCGCACACGCAGCGAACCCUUGCCGACCACACGACCCAAGGCAACAUUGCAACAAACACACACACCCGACUCCGGAGCCGCCACUCCGACGUCCCCCGCCCUCAUGCGAGCCACAACGCCGCAUGGCUCAGGCGCCUCGUAGCCCUUGCUACACGAGACGACCACCCGCAAACCACGAACGUUGUACCAAAAUCCGGGGCCACCGCCUCGACUUCCAGCCAGACCGACCCACAGAUCGCGUCGACCGGGCCGACGAACUGGCCACCCUCGCAGCACCAGGUCGCCGCCCAUGCCAAGCAAAGCAGCAGACCUACCCAAUAG